rnacentral:rRNA from 1 species
UGGGGAAUUUUGGACAAUGGGCGCAAGCCUGAUCCAGCAAUGCCGCGUGCAGGAUGAAGGCCUUCGGGUUGUAAACUGCUUUUGUACGGAACGAAAAGCCUCCCUCUAAUACAGGGGGGUGAUGACGGUACCGUAAGAAUAAGCACCGGCUAACUACGUGCCAGCAGCCGCGGUAAUACGUAGGGUGCAAGCGUUAAUCGGAAUUACUGGGCGUAAAGCGUGCGCAGGCGGUUUUGUAAGACAGUGGUGAAAUCCCCGGGCUCAACCUGGGAACUGCCAUUGUGACUGCAAGGCUGGAGUGCGGCAGAGGGGGAUGGAAUUCCGCGUGUAGCAGUGAAAUGCGUAGAUAUGCGGAGGAACACCGAUGGCGAAGGCAAUCCCCUGGGCCUGCACUGACGCUCAUGCACGAAAAGCGUGGGGAGCAAACAGGAUUAGAUACCCUGGUAGUCCACGCCCUAAACGAUGUCAACUGGUUGUUGGGGAUUUAUUUCUUCAGUAACGAAGCUAACGCGUGAAGUUGACCGCCUGGGGAGUACGGCCGCAAGGUUAAAAACUUAAAUGAAUUGACGGGGG